CUCAGAAUCUGAAAUUUGAAAUUUAGAAAUCCCAAAAGUGAGAUAGUUAGAACGCUCGUCUGAUUGUAGUUUGUUUAACUUUGAGUUUUCAUCACACAUUUUUUUCAUAAGGAAGCGUUUUAAAGCACUGCGCCGGGUACGAUAUUUGGUUACUACGUUCCUGAACGUGUACACGUGAAAUUAAAAAUUUCAUGCCGGAGACCGUGUAAUACCUAUUUAACACGCGUGAUACAUGAAUAUCAAAAAUAAAUAUCCGUGUACUGAAUGACACGGGUAAAACGCACAUACUAUUGAGACCACCGUCAGAUAUAACAAUAUGUACCUACUAGGAAAAAUGUCCAAAAUCGAAAACUAAAAUAUUAAACAAAUUAUAAUGAUAAAAUUGAAAUACCAAGAAUAGUGUCAUAGUCUGCUAACUUUUACAUAAAUAUUAUUUUUUAUUUUUU